rnacentral:rRNA from 1 species
GAUGAACGCUGGCGGCGUGCUUAACACAUGCAAGUCGAACGGAAAGGCCCAAGCUUGCUUGGGUACUCGAGUGGCGAACGGGCGAGUAACACGUGGGUGAUCUGCCCUGCACCUCGGGAUAAGCCUGGGAAACUGGGUCUAAUACCGGAUAGGACCACUUCUUGGAUGUUGUGGUGGAAAGUUUUUUCGGUGUGGGAUGAGCUCGCGGCCUAUCAGCUUGUUGGUGGGGUAAUGGCCUACCAAGGCGUCGACGGGUAGCCGGCCUGAGAGGGUGUACGGCCACAUUGGGACUGAGAUACGGCCCAGACUCCUACGGGAGGCAGCAGUGGGGAAUAUUGCACAAUGGGCGCAAGCCUGAUGCAGCGACGCCGCGUGGGGGAUGACGGCCUUCGGGUUGUAAACUCCUUUCGCUAGGGACGAAGCGUUUUGUGACGGUACCUGGAGAAGAAGCACCGGCUAACUACGUG